AUUGAACGCUGGCGGCAUGCCUUACACAUGCAAGUCGAACGGCAGCACGGGAGCAAUCCUGGUGGCGAGUGGCGAACGGGUGAGUAAAGUAUCGGAACGUGCCCAGUCGUGGGGGAUAACGUAGCGAAAGUUACGCUAAUACCGCAUACGAUCUAUGGAUGAAAGCGGGGGAUCGCAAGACCUCGCGCGAUUGGAGCGGCCGAUAUCAGAUUAGGUAGUUGGUGGGGUAAAGGCUCACCAAGCCGACGAUCUGUAGCUGGUCUGAGAGGACGACCAGCCACACUGGGACUGAGACACGGCCCAGACUCCGACGGGAGGCAGCAGUGGGGAAUUUUGGACAAUGGGCGAAAGCCUGAUCCAGCCAUGCUGCGUGCAGGAUGAAGGCCUUCGGGUUGUAAACUGCUUUUGUACGGAACGAAAAGGUUUGGCCUAAUAAGCUGAGCUCAUGACGGUACCGUAAGAAUAAGCACCGGCUAACUACGUGCCAGCCGCCGCAGUAA
rnacentral:rRNA from 1 species